GUCCACGCUGUAAACGAUGUGCACUGGAUCGGUGCCGGUCUGACCCGGUAUCGGUCGUAGAGAAAUUGCUAAGUGCACCGCCUGGGGAGUACGGUCGCAAGGCUAAAACUCAAAGGAAUUGACGGGGGCUCACACAAGCGGUGGAGCAUGUUGCUUAAUUCGAAGCAACGCGAAGAACCUUACCUGGGUUUGACAUGUACGGAUUAACUCCAUGAAAGUGGAGCCACGCUCGCAAGAGUGGAACGUACACAGGUGCUGCAUGGCUGUCGU
rnacentral:rRNA from 1 species